rnacentral:rRNA from 1 species
ACUCAAAUGAAUUGACGGGGGCCCGCACAAGCGGUGGAGCAUGUGGUUUAAUACGUCACAAACCGUAGAACCUUACCAAGGCUUGACAUCCUCUGCACCAGUGUGAAAGCACUGUUCCCGCAAGGGACGGAGAGACAGGUGUUGCAUGGCUGUCGUCAGCUCGUGUCGUGAGAUGUUGGGUUAAGUCCCGCAACGAGCGCAACCCUCAUCCCCUGUUGCCAGCGAGUAAUGUCGGGAACUCUGGGGAAACUGCCGGUGCAAGCCGGAGGAAGGUGAGGACGACGUCAAGUCAGCAUGGCCCUUACGCCUUGGGCUACACACAUGCUACAAUGGACGGUAAACAGAGGGACCCGAAGCCGUGAGGUGGGGGAAAUCCCAGAAAUCCGUUCUCAGUUCGGAUUGCAGGCUGCAACUCGCCUGCAUGAAGCCGGAAUCGCUAGUAAACGCAGGUCAGCGAAACUGCGUUGAAUUCGUUCCCGGGCCUUGUACACACCGCCCGU